rnacentral:rRNA from 1 species
AUUAGUAUUAGUUAUGUUCUUGAAAAUUAAAAGAUUUGGCGGUAUUUUAGUCUAUUCAGAGGAACUUGUCCUAUAAUUGAUAGUCCACGAUUUACUUUAUUUUUCUUAAAAAGCUUAUAUAUCGUCGUGUUUGAGAAUUUUAUAAAAAUUUAUUAAUUUUCAAGAUUUUUAAUUUAAAAGUAUAUCAGAUCAAGAUGUAGUUUAUAGAAAAGUAGAGAUGAGUUACAUUAAUUUUAUUUAAGGAUAAAUAUUAUAAUAAUAUUUUGAAUAUGGAUUUGAUAGUAAUUUUAAUUAAUUAAUUAUUAUGAUUUUAGCUCUAAAGUAUGUACACAUCGCCCG